ACUUUUAAAGGAUAAUAGAAAUCCACGGGCCUUAGAAGCCCGUAAUCUCAAUGCAACUCUGAGUAAAAGUU
rnacentral:tRNA from 1 species